UAAAUGAAAUAAGCAAAGCACAAAAAGACAAAUGUGGUAUAAUUUCAUUUAUAUGAUGCACUUAGAAUAGCCAAAUUCAUCAGAACUGAAAGUAACAGAGGUUAUUAGAAGUUUGGUGUAGAAGCAAUAAGAUGUUACUGCUUAAUGGUUACAGAAUUUUUGUUUAGGGGUAAUGGAAAACUAUUUCCAAAAUAAUCAUGACAUAGUAGUGAUGGUUGUACAAUAUUGUGAAUGUAAUUAAUGAAACAGAAUUAAUUGUAAACUUAAUUAAAAUGGCAAAUUAUAUGUCAUAUAUUUGUACUGCAAUUUUAAAAAUUAGUAAUACAUUUACCAAAACCUAUUGAAUUGUUCAUUUUGUUUUCAAAUUUAUUUCAUUUUAUUUUCCUAGAGACAGAGUUUUGCUAUGUUGCCUAGGCCAGAGUACAGUGGCUAUUCACGGGCACAGUCAUGGCGCACUGCAGCCUUGAACUUCUGGGCUCAAGCAAUCCUCCUGCCUCAGCCUCUGGAGUAGCUGGGACUACAGGUGUGUGCCACUGUGCCCAGCUGAACUGUUCACUUCAAAUGGGCAAAUUGUGUGGUUAACUUGGACUUUGUAUCAGCAGUCCCCAGCCUUUUUGGCCCCAGGGACCAGUUUCGUGGAAGACAAUUUUUCCAUGAACCAGGAUUGAGGAAUUGGGAGAUUGGAGGUUUGAGAGGGUGAGUGUGGGAGGUUUGGGAUGAAACAGUUCCGCGUGAGUCUCAUCAGGAGUGUGCAACCUAGAUCCCUCACAUGCACAGUUCACAAUAGGAUUCAAGCUCCUAUGAGAAUGUAAUGCUGUCACUGACCUGACAGGAGGUGGAGCUGAGGCAGUAAUGCUCACUCACCCACCGCUCACCUCCUGCUGUGCUGCCCAGUUCCUAACAGGCCACAGACCAGUACCGAUCUGCAGCAGGGGUUUGGGACCCCUGCUUUAAAUGAUAAAAUCUCAUGAAGCAAGAACAACAAUUUUAGUUGAUGCUAUUCAUUGUGUAGCUUAGCAUUUAAUGCACUACAGACACUAUAAAAAUAUUUGAAAAAUAUUUGUUGACUGACAAUACUAGUCAGACCAUGUAAUGCACAGUCCUAAGCACUAAAGAGUGAUACAAAGAUUAUGAAAACAAGGUCCUGCACUCACAAUUAAUAAAGAAAAUGAGGC
rnacentral:lncRNA from 1 species